UGGGCGUGCGACCAGAAGUUGAUCGUCGAACUCUUGCGAAUCGUGCAGCGGCUUCACUUGAAUGGCGCUCGGCUGGCUCGGGGGACGUUUUUGCAGGGAGAAAAAGAUCAAAAUGUUUUGGGCAUUUUUUUUUUCAUUUGUUUGUUUGUUUUUAAAUACCAUAUAUAGAAAUGCAUGGGCCUGUUCUUUCAGGGAAAAAAAAAAAAAAGUUCCUUGCUGCGAAUAUGUGUUGCGGUUAAAAUAGAAAGAAAAGUAAAUCAAGUUAGGAGCCCAAACUUUGCUGCUGCACAUGUUGGUUAUGAAGCGAGAAGCCGCCGUUGAAGACUCCGACGAUGAAGAGGCGCAAAUGGAGUGCUGAGUCAGACUCAUGACUUCAUCGGCAUCACGGGACGACGCGGAGGGAGGGAGGGCGCGGCCGCGGGCCCGGGAAACGCUCUGCAGCUGCCGCUUGGCUUCCUUUUUGGCACUGCCCCCCCGCCCCCACCCCUCUCUCUCUCUCUUUUCUCCCGCCAUAAAAGGAAGGAACAAGCACUCCAGGACAUUUGAAGGGGCACUGCACUUGGGCUGAACAAGGAGAAGGCUGACAGGAGAUGAGAGCGCCCCCGCCCCCGCCCCUCCCUCCACCACCUUCUCAUGGGGCCCAAAGGUGUCGUCUGUCAGUCAGCGCAAACGGGUGGGGGGCGGGGGACGGGGGGGGGGGGGGUGCAGCGCUGCAUGCCAGCGCGGCUCAGGAUGAUGCAACUCUGAGGCAGAGACGUGCAAAGCGCUGCAGGCGGCCUCGCCAGACGCAACAUUUGGGACACCUGCGCCCGCCCAGCGUUUGCGCCGCAGAAUCGCUCACUUGUUCUCAUUGUGCUUGUAGAACGACACUGCAUCAUUUCGCACCCGACUGCGCAUGGAACCCAUCCAACCUCGGAGCGAGCCCAAUAGCCGGAAUAAAAGCGGGUCACAAACCGGAGGCGGGGGGGGCAUUUGAGUUCCCGUUUAUGGGCAAUUUUGAGUUUUGAAUAAAGCCAACACGCAUGUGUUUCAAACAUACACGCGGAGAAGGCCAGAGAGGACAUGGAUUCAAACCGGGACCUCCUGACGCCGACGCGAAUGUCCUAACCACGAGUACGGUGUGCUGGCAAAGGGGGGAACACACCCUGGAAAGAUUUCUAGUCAAUCACAGGACACCUCAUGAGCGUUCACACUCACAUUUGUCUCCAAUUAACAAAUAACAAGAACAAAAAAAAAAAAACCAAACUUCCGUUUAUAGAAUGUGGGCGGGAAAUCUGAAAAAAAAAAACACGCGUGAGGAGAACAUGCAAAACGCCGCACAGGAACGUCCGACGGCAAACUCUGAGCCAGACACGCAAACGCACCGGCGGUCAACCGCGCUGUUAGCUUUGUAGCCCAAAAAAAAAAAAAAAAUAAUAGGAACGGCUCUCGGUAGGAUUGACAAAUUCAACAGUUCUGGUCACGGAGGGGUUUCCCUGCGCUCGUGUGCCUCAGUCGCUAAAAACAGAACAGAACAAAAAAGCCCCAAGCUUUUUACGAGCCCGGGUCAUUUAGCGUCUGAUGAAAGGAGUGGACGUGACUGGAAGGCCGGGCGCGGCGUGGGCGGACGUGUGACUCAGCAGGAAGUAAAGGAAGGCGGCGAGCGGCAUCCACUAGCGAGCGGGCCACCAAUUACGCAGGCGUGACUAUCGCGUCCACACCCGAUUGCAGUCAGAGCGGGUGGAAGACAAAGAAACAAAUGCGCGUUACAGUGUAAUACCACUGUAUGAGCGAGAUUUAUCUUUGCGUGUGUGUGUGUGUGUAUGAAUAUGAUUACCACGUAGCUCAACAGAUGCAUGUUUUUCCACUUAGCUGUGAUGAAAUAGAGCUAAUGUGGGCUAAUAUGCGGCGACACCUACCCGACGCGUCGGUAAGCGGAGGUGACGUACGCGGCGUUAAUACCGAUGCCCGGGAAACCGUUGUGUUGGUCACGUGACUUCCUUCUGUCGUGUGAUUGGUGAACUGGAGUUGAAUGUCACGGGCGCUUAAACGGGAUUGGAGCAAACUGCGCUCUGCGUUCGUUUGUUGAAGUUGGAAUCGAAACGCGCACAAAAUACGGCACUUCGGUUAUCUUAAGGGAGUGAAAAUCAUUUUUCUUUUCAACAUAAAUUCUCCAGUAAAAGCCCAUACGAUACUGUAUUGAAACUUAAUUUUUUGCAAUUUAUUCCAAAUGCUUCUUGUUGAGUUAAGUGGAGCGCGUUUCGAGCCACCUCUUCUGGACUGUACACACUUUGGUCUUCAAAUGAAUGUAAAAUGAAAAAGUGCAUGGAACUCCCAAGGUCACCAGCACGUCUUUCAUAAAAAAAUUGUGUUCAUGUAACGACAUGGUUUUUAGUAACCACUGAACAUUCGUAAUCUCUCCUACGUGUGUACAAAGGGAGAAACUGCAUUAUUCAAAAAUCAUAUCAAGAUUUGAAUAAAGUACAGAGUGAGUGACUUACUUAAGGCCAAUAAUUCU